UACGUAGGGUGCGAGCGUUGUCCGGAAUUAUUGGGCGUAAAGGGCUCGUAGGCGGUUUGUCGCGUCGGGAGUGAAAACCAUGGGCUUAACUCAUGGCUUGCUUCCGAUACGGGCAGACUAGAGGUAUGCAGGGGAGAACGGAAUUCCUGGUGUAGCGGUGAAAUGCGCAGAUAUCAGGAGGAACACCGGUGGCGAAGGCGGUUCUCUGGGCAUUACCUGACGCUGAGACGCGAAAGCGUGGGGAGCGAACAGG
rnacentral:rRNA from 1 species